rnacentral:tRNA from 1 species
CCGGGGCGAGGGAGACGGUAACCCGCCUGCUUUGGGAGCAGGAGACACGGGGUUCGACACCCCGGUCCCGGA